UACGUAGGGGGCUAGCGUUGUCCGGAAUCAUUGGGCGUAAAGCGCGUGUAGGCGGUCCGGUAAGUCCGCUGUGAAAGUCGGGGGCUCAACCCUCGAAUGCCGGUGGAUACUGUCGGGCUAGAGUGCGGAAGAGGCGAGUGGAAUUCCUGGUGUAGCGGUGAAAUGCGCAGAUAUCAGGAGGAACACCGAUUGCGAAGGCAGCUCGCUGGGACGUUACUGACGCUGAGACGCGAAAGCGUGGGGAGCAAACAGG
rnacentral:rRNA from 1 species